GGACUACUGGGGUUUCUAAUCCUGUUUGCUCCCCACGCUUUCGCGCCUCAGCGUCAGUAUCGGACCAGGUCGCCGCCUUCGCCACCGGUGUUCUUCCCAAUAUCUACGAAUUUCACCUCUACACUGGGAAUUCCACGACCCUCUUCCGAACUCAAGCCCAUACGUAUCAAACGCAGCCCCCAGGUUGAGCCCAGGAAUUUCACGUCUGACUGUACAAGCCGCCUACGCGCCCUUUACGCCCAGUCAAUCCGAGUAACGCUAGCCCCCUUCGUAUUACCGCGGCGGCUGGCAC
rnacentral:rRNA from 1 species